UAUGGUCGACCUGCAGGCGGCCGCGAAUUCACUAGUGAUUUACGGCUACCUUGUUACGACUUCACCCCAGUCGCUGACCUUACCGUGGCCGGCUGCCUCCAUUGCUGGUUAGCACACCGUCUUCAGGUAAGACCAACUCCCAUGGUGUGACGGGCGGUGUGUACAAGGCCCGGGAACGUAUUCACCGCUACCUGCUGAUUAGCGAUUACUAGCGAUUCCAACUUCAUGCACCCGAGUUGCAGAGUGCAAUCUGAACUGAGACGGUUUUUUGGGAUUAGCAUCUCCUUGCGAAGUAGCUGCCCAUUGUCACCGCCAUUGUAGCACGUGUGUAGCCCAACCCGUAAGGGCCAUGAGGACUUGACGUCAUCCCCACCUUCCUCCGGCUUAUCACCGGCAGUCCCUUUAGAGUGCCCAACUAAAUGAUGGCAAUUAAAGGCGAGGGUUGCGCUCGUUGCGGGACUUAACCCAACAUCUCACGACACGAGCCGACGACAGCCAUGCAGCACCUGUCUCCGAUCCAGCCGAACUGAAGGACUCCAUCUCUGGUGUCCGCGAUCGGGAUGUCAAGGGUUGGUAAGGUUCUGCGCGUUGCUUCGAAUUAAACCACAUGCUCCACCGCUUGUGCGGGCCCCCGUCAAUUCCUUUAAGUUUUAAUCUUG
rnacentral:rRNA from 1 species